CCUACGGGGGGCUGCAGUGGGGAAUAUUGGACAAUGGGGGCAACCCUGAUCCAGCCAUGCCGCGUGUGUGAAGAAGGCCCUCGGGUUGUAAAGCACUUUCAGUGAGGAAGAACGCCUGGUGGUUAAUACCCAUCAGGAAAGACAUCACUCACAGAAGAAGCACCGGCUAACUCCGUGCCAGCAGCCGCGGUAAUACGGAGGGUGCGAGCGUUAAUCGGAAUUACUGGGCGUAAAGCGCGCGUAGGUGGCUUGAUAAGCCGGUUGUGAAAGCCCCGGGCUCAACCUGGGAACGGCAUCCGGAACUGUCAAGCUAGAGUGCAGGAGAGGAAGGUAGAAGUCCCGGUGUAGCGGUGAAAUGCGUAGAGAUCGGGAGGAAUACCAGUGGCGAAGGCGGCCUUCUGGACUGACACUGACACUGAGGUGCGAAAGCGUGGGUAGCAAACAGGAUUAGAUACCCCGGUAGUC
rnacentral:rRNA from 1 species